GAUGAACGCUGGCGGCGUGCUUAACACAUGCAAGUCGAACGGGAAACCUUUUAUUGAAGCUUCGGCAGAUUUAGCUGGUUUCUAGUGGCGGACGGGUGAGUAACGCGUGGGUAACCUGCCUUAUACAGGGGGAUAACAACCAGAAAUGGUUGCUAAUACCGCAUAAGCGCACAGGACCGCAUGGUCCGGUGUGAAAAACUCCGGUGGUAUAAGAUGGACCCGCGUUGGAUUAGCUAGUUGGCAGGGUAACGGCCUACCAAGGCGACGAUCCAUAGCCGGCCUGGGAGGGUGAACGGCCACAUUGGGACUGGGACACAGCCCAGACUCCUACGGGAGGCAGCAGUGGGGAAUAUUGCACAAUGGGGGAAACCCUGAUGCAGCGACGCCGCGUGAAGGAAGAAGUAUCUCGGUAUGUAAACUUCUAUCAGCAGGGAAGAUAGUGACGGUACCUGACUAAGAAGCCCCGGCUAACUACGUG
rnacentral:rRNA from 1 species